UAGACAUUUUGAGAAAUGAUCAUAAAAGUGA
rnacentral:piRNA from 1 species